rnacentral:rRNA from 1 species
UACGUAGGUGGCAAGCGUUGUCCGGAUUUACUGGGCGUAAAGGGCGUGCAGGCGGUUUGUUAAGUCUAGGGUGAAAGCUCCCGGCUCAACUGGGAGAGGUCCUUGGAUACUGGCAGACUUGAGGAGAGUAGAGGAGAGUGGAAUUCCCGGUGUAGUGGUGAUAUGCGUAGAUAUCGGGAGGAACACCAGUGGCGAAGGCGGCUCUCUGGGCUCUACCUGACGCUGAGACGCGAAAGCGUGGGGAGCGAACGGG